GGUGAAGACAAUGAUUGAUCCAGAAAAUUUCUUUAGACACGAACAAAGUAUCCCUCCGCUUUUGUCCGUGCGGAAGAAGACAGGAAAUUAGAGUAUAUAUAACCUUGGUGGACACUGUUACUCAUAAAGCACACAAUAAAUGAUUUUUAUGGAAAUCAUAGUGCUAGACAAAAUGUUUGAUUAGUUCUUUGUUACCGUUUCUGGCUGGCAUAAUGCAUGAGUGGUAUGCAUAGCCUAAUAAAUAACAUACCAUUAAUUACCUUUGGUUGAAACAAGGUAAUGUGUGUUGACAAUAAUAAAUUUUAGCCUUCUUUCUCCAGAUUUCAUUGUUGGAUACAAUAAUUUUUAGCUUCUAACCCUUGUCUGUUCUAAAAGAUUCAGAAUAGUGUAAUGCAGCACAUUUUUUCUAAUUUGUUGUGCCAAAAAAUUCUCUGGCUUUUUCAAAGACUUCACGGAAAAGUUAUCUAAUGUUGAAUCAAUAUCUUCCAAAGAACAGAAAGGGACAUGUCUCCUCUUGUGUUCAUAUAGGCUAUUCAAUGUUCCUACACAUCAAAGACCUUUGUUAUAGGAAUUUAGAAUAUCCUCUUACUCACUAUUCGUUUGUGCUAGAGUUCAAAAUUUCAGACACAAAGCUAUUUAGUCAUUGAAAUUAACAUCAAGUUUACGAAAUUAAUUAAUAUAUUUAGUUAAUAUAAAAUAAAAGUUUAUACAUACAUUUUUGAAGCUUUUUAAUGUAGCAAUAGUUUUUAUGUCAAAUACCCACAUCAACAGUGCCUUGUCAAUAUGUCAUGUACCCAUGUUAUUAUGUCAGCAAAAAUGUGCCACCUCAACGCUAACAUCACCUGAUUUAAAGGUUAAAUUAAAUGCCGUUAAAGAAGGUAUUAAAUUAGAGUAAUUUUUAAAAUCGAUGAAUUAAAUUACUUUAAAUUAAAGUACAAAUACUAAAUUGAAAAAAAUAUAUGAAUACAAAAACCUUUUGGAUAUUUUGACCAUUAAUUAAUCAUCACAUAUUAUUUGUCUGAAAUUGUUAGUUACUUACAUUUUAAUUUGACUUUUUGCAUUUAUUAUUUUGAAUACUUAUUGCAGUGGGCAGGCUAAUUAACCAAGAAAAAAAAUGGAGGCACCAUAUUGCCUUUUCGCAGUGUAUUUAAUAUUUGUUUUGGGGAGUAAUUAAAGUACUCACUAACAUACUAAUUUUAUGAAAAAAGUUUGUGGGGAUCAGGGGCCCUUACGGCAGCCGCCAUCCUCUUUGGCCUCGCCCCUCCUAUCCUACGUUUAACCCUUUUGAUAGACAUGGAAGGUCUUCAUGGAGACUGGAGGGAGUAGUAUUUACAGUUACACCAAAAAAAUAGUACCAAGUAUUUUCUAUGUGAGCUGGAAAUAAAAGAGAAUGUGCGCUGGAAGAAGGUUCGCUAAAGAUUUGAUAAUUGAUUCGUAUAACAUGAGAUUGUGAUCAAAGAUGGGAUAUAAUGUUAGUAUUAUAUACUUGAAAGGAAGUGUCAUCAUUUUGUCACGCCUCAACUUAAAUAGUGGCCACGUUUGAAGUGGCCUUUUGCAGGUUUUGCUUCUCCAUGUUUUGACAGGUGGAGUCUUGAGAAAGGAGUUGGGGAUUAAGUUGGGGGCUCACAUGUGAUGGGUUGCGAUUAGAGGAGUUUUAUAGUUGAGGUGUAGAGGUUAGAAAAGAGUAGGGAUAAAGUGGAAAGAAAAAGAAAGAUAAGAUAAAAAAUUUUGAAAAAAAAAUUGGGUGAAAAAUUCAGAUUUGAUGAAAAAGGGAAUGGGUAAAAAAAAAAGAGAUGGAGAUCUAUAUGAGAGAAAGGUAAGUCUGGGUUGAGAGGAAGAUGUGGGAGGAAAAAAUAGAAAAAAAAAAGGAAAAAUUGAGAAAAACGAAUGGGUGGUUUUUUAAUUGAGAUUUGAUUUUUUGUAGUUUUUCUUUCUUUUUUAUUUUUUGUUAUUAUUUUUUUAAUAUUUAAUUUUUUAUUGAUUGCAUUUAUAAUUUUAUCUUUUUUUAUAACUUUUUUUCUUACGAUGCAGGAAAUAACAAAAAAAAAUCCUAAUAAUGCAUUAUAUAGAUCUGUUAGUAAUAGUAUUACUUAUACAUGAUAGCAUUGUGAAAGAUCAAAUAAGUUCAAAUUUGAUGAACAAGUUCAUUUUAAAUAAGUUUAAUACGUCAUCACAAUAUCUUUUAAUUUUUAAAAAUUUAUCUUUACACAUUACAAUGUAAUUUGUAAAUGAUAUUUUGAUUAUCUUUUGUUUUUAACGAUUAUCCUUAUUAAUGUAAAUUAAUUUCAUAUCUUAUUUAUAUAUAAAAAAAUUGUACCCAACGUGUAGCAUGGGCUACACUCUAGUAGUCUAAAAAGGAAUAUAUCUUUUUGGUGGUUUAACCCAAUGUAAAUUUAUAAAUUAAAUAAAGCUGAUAAAAAUCUACACUUAUUUUUAAAGACAAAAUAUUAGUAUUAAUUAAGUUUUUAAUUAAUUUUCUUUGAUUAUUGGUUCUUUUCUUUUAGAAAUCCUGCUAAAUAUACAUUUUUUUCAAAAAAAUUUAAAGUAAGUAGAAUCAAAGAAUAAUAGUCAAAACAAAAAACAACUAGUAAUCGAGACAACAUCACAUCCACUUGAUGUGUAUGAAAAUUAUAUUGUCAUAAAAUCAAGCCAUAAAACAUACAAGCAAUAGAAUCAUCACCCAUAAAAAGUUUAGCACCAAACUGGUGGAAGACUUCUCUUGGCAUAGAAAGUUAGUUUUGGAGAGGGCAUUGCCCUUGACAACAAGCAAAAGAAUGUUGGGAAAAAAGCCUUUGGCAGCAAUGACGAAAGAAAAUAUCCCCUGAUAAAAAUACGGGCUACAAAAGAUCCUAAAAAAAUUACCAAAAACCUAAUUUUAACAACUAAAACACAUAAGUAAUUUUAAAAGUAAAAACCCCAAAGUCACAACAUGUAGUUAGUCCCAAGCAGUCCAACCUUAACCUCAUUAACUACUAAGGAUCACAAGAAGCUUCAUAACCCUUCUCGAACCUUCAACGUUCCACUGUAUUAAAAAUAAUAGAGCCUUACCAAUUCCUACAAACUAGCUCAACAACAAACCAAAGCCACGAUCAGGGUUUAAUUGAAAAAAUUACAAAGUUGACAACAAGGAGAAAAAACCCCAUUGACCUCGAUAACUAAUCACAGAUAUGAAUGGAAAAGAAAUCCCCCAUCAACUUAUCAUGAUUGUAGCACUCAAGGUUCAUCAAUUAAACACCAAGGUGCCAUCGUAGCCUUGUCACCCACACCACACCUCAAAACUAGUGAAAACCCUUUCUUUACCCACCCACAAAGUCCUUCAAGCAAGAGAUCAAGAACGAAAACAAUCCCACACCACAUGAAAAUUUUACAAGCAAAGUCCCUUUCCUUGAAAACCCCCACCACAAUGACCCACAAACAUCCCAAGUCUCAAAACCUUUUUCACUUGAAACUAUCUCCACCCUCAAAAAAAGAGACAAGAAAAAAAAAAACAUCAACCUUAUGCAAAUAUGUCCUAACCACCCACCUCCCCUUUCCCUUAUUAAUUUAUGAACCCAAAACAAAAGCAUGAAAAUUCCAUACACAAAUCAAUGAAACCGGAAGAUCCAUCACAUAGGAAAAAAAGCACACCUAUAUAUUGAUGCCUCCGAAGAAAGCAAACUUUCUAAUGGAGUAAUGUUUUUUCUUUUUUCUUUUCUUUCCUUUUUUUCCUUUCUCUCUCUUUUUUUAAUAAAAUUAUUCCAUUAUCCUUAUUUUCUAAUCCAACACAAAUACUCAAAGGGCCUUUAUAUGAAACUCGCUUUAUUAAAAUCCUCCACCUAUCUCUAAGUACAUCUUAACCCUAUGAACAAGUAAUGAAUCAAGCUCAAAACCCUUGGUGGCUCCGUACCAAACUCAACAAGAUCAGAGAGAAACAAAAUACAUUAUGGCUAAAAGACUAAGAAAGAAAGAGCUUCCCCUAUUCCCUCUCCUCCCCUCUCCCAUAAAGAAAGAGCUUCCCCUAUUCCCUCUCCUCCCCUCUCCCAUAGUCAAGAGAACACAACAAACAAAAGGUCCUUACCCUAGCAGCAAAAAGACCUUUAUUUUAUGCUCAAUCCCUCUACAUUUCAAAGCAAUCCUUUCUAAGACAACCCACAAAAUCAUGUAGUCUUAUAAACAAUAAAAGCAUAAAUCAUUAAUUUAAAAGAUGAAAAACCAACCCUCUUUAAAAAAAAUCAAAUAAGAAUAAAGGUGAAGGAGAAGCAAAAAUGCACAAUUCUAUCACACAAGGCAAAAAACCUAUCCUCCCUAAGAAAAUAAGUGAAAGAGAAAAGUACUACUCCUAUGCCUCAUGCGUUUCAAAAUUUCUUCAGUCAGGUAAAAUUUUUCUAAUCUUUUUUCUUUUUUUUCAUUUUUCCUCUUUUUUUUCUCUUUUUCUCUUUUUAGUUUUCCUACUUUCCUUCAUGCCUUCAACUCUCUCUGCAUCUAAGAUGAAAAAUUAUUAAAAAAGAAAGAAAAGGCAUGCCAUUUUUAAGACCUACACAACACUAAUGGUAGGAAAAAGUUAGAACAUCAUUCAUGAAAAACAUCACUACUAAGUUACUAAAAAGGAAAACUCUCCCUUUUUGUCACCAUUCACUCGGUACCACCCUCAAAUUAGUCCAACACUAGUACCAAAUCUCCCUCACUUUGAAGGCUUGACUUUGUCAAGUCAUUUUUCAUCUCAUUUGCUCCUCUAGCGAUUUUUCUAACCUGCCACUCAUCUAAGCUUAUCUGUAAGCCCACUAGACCUAGCUAGUGCUUUACUCGAAUCUAGUACACAUCCAACAUUUAUCAAGUCACUCUUAAUUAUCAAUGAUUGGUUCUCCACCCACUUCGAGACACCAAACAAUUUAAAGCAUCCUUAAUUGCUAGUACUUUAGCCGUGUUGACCAUUAUGACCCCUAAUAGUUUUGAAAACAUUAAUUUUACUGCUCUUUUCUCAUCUUUCAACACUCCACCAAUGGCUAUUAGGCUUGGGCUCUCCCUCACAGCCCCAUCAACAUUAAACUUAAGCCAACCUUUAGAGGGUGACUCCCAAUUUGUAACCAUUCUUUUUUUGUUUCAAGGGCUUUGUGGUUUGUUUAUUUUUGGGCAUUUCAUAGUCUCCGUCACUUUUCCUAAGUUUCUCGACCAUCGUGCCUUCGCCCAUCAUGCAACUCUUAUCCUAGCAAUAUCUAAACAUUGCUCACUAUCCCACACAUUGCCUUAAAAAACCACCUCAUUCCUUAUUAAACAAAUGCAUUAGGUAAUGAUGAAGAACGUCAAUCGCCACAAUCUUCUAUCUCCUUUGUGUAAUAAUUCAUUCCAAUCAAGGAAAAAUUGAACUACCUUGUCUUGCGCCACUCAACUAAUACCCCAUUGCCUAAUCCACCUCAUCCAAAUCUUCCAACUCUUGUACAUCAAAAAAAUUGAUUAUCACCUAUUCCUUACUAUCCCUACACAAAACGCACACUAUUGAGCUAGUCUAGAGUAACCCCCUCUUAGCCAACUUUGCCUUAACUACAAUUUUACCCCUAAAAAUCCUCCAACAAAAUAUCUCAACCUUCAUCGAAGCUAUUCCUUACCACAACUUUUUUUAAUGAUCCCUUACACUCUUAUUCCUUGCUACCAUCGAUAUGCAAUAAGAGCUCAUUAAAUACACUACACCAAAUCUGUAUUUCUAGAUAACUGUAUCCUCAUAUUCCUCCACCAUUGGGUUCUCACUUAUAGCCUUUAUGAAACUAUCCCACUAUUCCACUUCCCAUUCAAACAAGUUGCGUCUUAGCUUCACUUGCCAUUUCCAUUCCCCUUCCACCCAUUGAUAAUACUCUUUAACUUUACUUGUCUUGUUAUCUACUAAUGCAUAUAUCCUAGGAAAAGCUUGCCUCAGAGUUAGUCUUUUUGACUAUUCAUCAUUCCAAAAAUCAAGCCAUUCCUCUUUCCCUAAAAUGAAACCAAGGUUUCCCUAUAAGAUUGAGCUACUUUCUCAACCCUCUCUAAUAGGUUUGACUAUGUUCUUCCAAAUGAAAAAUUGCUUAUUCAACCUUCAUGACCGUGGAAGCAAAGCUCGUGGGUUACUAUCAAUUUUAUCAACAAUAACCUUUCUCUAUAGAAUGUCCCUUUCAUUCUGCGUAUCUCCAUAUCCACUUAUUGAGCAAAGUUGAAUUUCUUGUUUGUAAGUCAACCUAACCUAACACUCUAAACUCGUUAUACAUAUAAAUAGACCCUUAAUCCACAUAAUGGAUUUUUCUCUCAUCCGUCGUCCCAUUCCACAUAAAUUUUUACUGAUUCUGUUUUAACUCCUGGCUUACCGUUAUCGACAUCCUAAAUAAUGACAUAUAAAAAGUAGGCAAACUCAUUAUAAUUGAUCUAAUAAGGGUAACUCUACCUCUUAAUGACAGCAUUAUACUUUUCCACCAUUUUAACCUACUCUCAAACCUUUUCACUACUGGUCUCCACAUCUCUUUGAACUAGUUUUAACUCUUAAUGGCAAACCUAGGUACCUAGAAGGGAACUUUUCCAUCUUAUAAUCGAUCUUGCCUACCCACUCUGCAAUAUCUCCUCUUUCGGGCGUAUCUUAAAAGGGCUACUCUUUUGAAAAUUAAUCCUAAGACCUAAAAUCAAUUAGAAACACCUCAGUAUCCUUCUCACGUUCUUAAUUGAUUCCCACUCUAGCUUACAUAUUUUUGUUCUAUCAUCAGCGAAUUGCAAAAGUGACAUAAUUAGCCCUCUAUUGGUUAUGUCAAUUCCUCUGUAUACUCCUAACUUAACUGCCUCACUCAUUAAGACACUGAAAGUUUUUGUGGCACAAUUGAAUAGGAAAAGAGAUAAUGGACAGCCUUGUCGUAAUCCCUUCCUUAUCCUAAAUUGUCUGGUGGGAACUCCAUUAACCAACACUAAUAUCCUAGCUGUCAAUAUACAAGCUCUAAUCUAACUCUUCCAUUUCCUUCCAAAUCCCAUUUUUUCAUACACAAAAUCUAAAAACUCCCAGCUAAUUGUGUCAUUGUCUUUUUUCAAAUCUACUUUGAAAAAUGGCCCCUCAUCCCUAUCCCUCCUCAUGUCAUCCACAACUUCAUUAACUAUAAAAGCACAAUCCACAAGUUCUUUCUUUCGUGAAAAUGAAGUGUUUGUUGCCUACCACCUCCUCUGUAACCGACCUUAACCUAUUAGCUAGUAUCUUAGCAAUGAUCUUGUAGAUACUUUCUACUAGGCUUAUAGGUCGGUAGUCCUUAAUGCUUUUUGAGGUUUUGCACUUAAGUAUAAGUGUAAUGAAAAUGGCAUACCUAACAAAUAAUUAAACAUAAAAAGACUAAAAUGAAUAUUAAAAAAAAGUAAGAAAGAUAUUAUUAGUGAUAAAAGAAAAGUGUAUAAUAUACUUUAAUGAAUUCCUAUCAUCUUAAAGAUAACAAUAGGUUAUGCCAUUAAAUCUAGUGUUCAUCAAUAAUUUGAGUUCCACAACCUCUACCAAUCAAAAUUUGAUUUUGUAAAAGAAUUUUUGACUGCCAAGUCGCUCCUCUAUUGUAAGCUUCUAUACAUAUCACAUCUUUAAAAGUGUUUCUGACACGAAGAUUACGUAUAUAAAAAUGUCUUUUUACGUGAAAAAUUAGCUGACAUGUUAUAUUUUAAUACUUAUCUAACAAAAAAUAUAAUUUAAUUGAUAAUAAAAAAGUAAUAAAAUUAUUAAUUUGUUAUAUUAUUAAAAGUAUAUGGAUUUAUCACUUUUAAUUAACAGUUUUAGACUUGACACUUGUAUAUAAAUGGAUUGAAGUUUUAGUGAUCCGAAAAGCAGAUGAGGGAUAACUCACUCUUGUGCUUGGUAUGUUUAACAAAGUAGUGUUGCCUCCUACUCCUAUGGCCAUAGCCCAUAAGCAAAUUGAUUCAUUUCUAGGCUUAAUGGGCUCUGUGAAAUGGGUGGGGAGUUCGCUGCAUGAAGCCCGCUACAAAGUCAUGCCUACUCAAAGUCAACCAGUUUAAACCUCGGUAAAAGUCAACAAGCUCUGUGAGCUGGUUUUAAAAUGUUAAUUAAUUAAUUAUAUAGUAUCCCUAAAUCCAAUUAAUUAGCAACUUGAAUUGAUUUGGAAUUUAGAUUAAUUUAAACUUAGAACUAUUUAGACGAUCUAUGAUAACCCAAGCAACAUCCACUUAAAAUCUGAAUUAGCCUCAUGAACUUGAGAUCUCUAGCAAUGUAAAUCUUAAAAAAUCUGAACAAUUUGUUUAAAUCACAUUUGAACUUCAAACAAUUUCUUUGCUGAUCAGUUUUAGAGCAUUGUGCGUUCCAAUUAUAUGCGUUUCACCUUGAUUUGACAACGAAGAAAAUAAGAAGUGGUUAGGAGAGUUUAGGGUCAAUGCCUCACAAAAUGAUGUUCAAUAGAAGAUUUAGUAAAUAAAUAGCAUAACUAAUUUAUAUAAAACUUUAAAUAAGCUCUAACAGAUACAAGGCUUUGAUUGAUUAGCAUAAACCGAAAAGAAAAUGACACCCCAACACAGAAAAUAAGACAAUAGGAAUUGGUUAAGAGAGUUUAGGGUCAAUGGCUCACAAAAUAAUGUUCAAUCGAAGAAUUGGUAAAUAAAUAGCAAAUGUAUAACUUUUUUUUUUAGGGAGGUGUAUGAUAGUUUGUUGGUGCAUGUCCUGUAUCUCUCACUUGGGAGCUAAUUGUUACAAUAAUUUAAUUUUAAUUGUAGGUAGGCCAAAUGUGAAAAAUAUAGUUGGGAAAUCGUCUUAAACAUAAUUAAUUAAAAUAACACUUAUUUCAGAUAUUAAUUAGAACAUAAUUAACGUUGUGAAAAGAAAAUCAUCAUUUUUUUUAAGAUAAAUUUUACAUAAAUCUUUUGUAAAAUUAUAUUUUUUUUCAAGUAACAUUUUAAAGAUAUAAUUCUUUUUUUUUAGUUUUUUGUACUGAUAAUAAAAUAAUCAAUAACCAAGUUUUGAAUUUCUGAAAUAUUUUGAGUUGGAUCAGGAGACUUUACAAUCAUAUGACCACUUAUGUUUCAAAAUCUCCGCGAGAAGCAUAUUUUAAUUAUAGGGAUCUAGAUAUUGGAACCAAUAACGUCGGCUAUACAAGUUAUGCACAAGCCAAUAUUUAGGGUCUGAAAUAUUUUAAGAAUAACUUCAACAGAUUGGUACAUGUAAAGACUAUGGUUGAUCUUGAAAAUUUCUUUAAAAAUGAACAAAGUAUCCUUCCUCUUUCAUCUUCGCCGAAGAACAAGGGUCUCUAGAGUAAAAGCGUUCAGAUUUUGUUAAGCAUGAAUAAAGAUGUCAAUGAAAAGUACAUUGCAAAUAAAGAGUUUCUUUGUUCCUAUUUCUGCCAUGAGAGAUUCAUGCCAAGUCUAAUAAAUUAUAACCUUACCUUGGUUUUGCAGCAAACUUGGUGUAGUUUUUGUUUAUCUUUUUUUUUUUUUGGCUUUAAGUUUGACAGUAACAAACUGCCUCAGAAUGUGUUAACAGAAGGCAGGGGUACAAGACCCCUGCAUAGUCAACAAACAGAUUAAGUUUAACAGAAAACGCAGGCGACAGGCUCUGAUACAUUUGGUAUUUUUGGUAUCUCUAUCGGAUAGCUUGAAGCAAAGCUUUGGAAUAACAGAUGAUUGUGCUCUAGGGAUAAAACCACACCCUUUCCUCGUGGAGUCACCACAACCUCAGAGUCCAAGUUCCACAGUGAAAUUGGCAAAGUAUAAUGUUUCUUUCUAAUCAGGCUAAAUUUAGAGCUUCAGAAUCCUUAAAGCUCAGCACAAGUACUCCCCUGAACAAGUCUAACAAAAUCAAUCUUAAAAAAUUCAAAGAAUAUGCUCAAAUCUCACUUGAGCUUCGAGCAAUUUCUUUUCCGAUCACUUUCAGAACAUUGUGCUUUCCAAUCAUAUGCGUUUCACAUAAUAGCAAACACUUGAUUGUCAAUAAAGAAAAUGAGAAGUGGUUAGGAGAAUUAAAGGUCAAUGGCUCACAAAAUAUUGUUCAAUAAAAGAUUUGGUAAAUAAAUAGCAUAUAUAAUUUAUAUAAAAUUUUUAAAUCAGAUCUAAUAUAUACAAACCUUUAAUUAACUAGUGUAAACCACACUACGAUAUUUUUUGGGCUUUGUAAAUAAAAUAGAACAUUUUUCCGGUUAUGCUUGAGGUUACAAUUUGAUUUAUUUUAAAAAUAUAAAUUACUUGAAGUUUUUGUUUAACAGGUAGAGUAUAUACAACCCUCAUUCAUUUAAAAAAAUUCUCACUUAUAAUUUUUUUAUAAAUCACUACUUUAAAAUGUUUUCCAAAUAAUUAUUCUUUAUUAUUCAAUUUAAUUAAAUCGUCAUUUUCAUUACAUUUUUUUGACUAAUUGUUUACUAAUUAAUUAAAUAAUUUUAUUAAUCAAAAUAGACACAUAAAAUAAAAAAUAGUAAUUGAGUUUGAGAUUUAUGCAUGAGUGGGCGAACUCUUCUAAAAACUUGGGUUGUAUUUCGGCCGGCACACUUCAAAGAUCAACCAGACUAAGGGCCGGAUCUGAACGGGUCUGGCUGAUCCGACCCGCUUCCUCUCAUUAGUCUUUCCCGUUUUCCUUUCCUAUCUCUUGAAACGGCGCCGUUUAAGAUCCUUACCCAAAAGCCCCUAAAAUCCCAUUUUCUGAUUACUCAACGCCUCUCCUCCUCUCUAAAAAUCCUCACCUUUCUUAACCUCCUCUCCUUUCGCCACCGUUCCGCCGUCGGCCACUGCUGAAACACCUCUCUUUUCUUUUCCUCUCCCUCUCUUCCAUCUAUCUUUUUACUGAUGUCCUUUUCCUCCAAAACAUUUCUUUUUCCCUGAAAAAGGACUAAAAACUGAAACCCAUUCCCCAAACUUCUGGCCGCCGUCGCUGUCAGUCGCAGCAGGAAUUCUCCUUCAUUCUCACCCUUGCCCUUUCCUCCAGAAUUCCGCUGGUUGAUUUCAAGCAGCAAUUAUUGCUCAAGAAAACAUGAGGUACAGCGACUGUGACUGUAUUCGCCAUUAGCAAGACCUUAGAACAAAAUGCAAUCAAAUUUCUUCACCGUUGGCAAUAUAUUGCCCAUGAUCUUCCUGAUGAAAUGUAAUCCUCGGUUACUUUAAAUAGGCAGAAUUCUAGUCAAGAUUGGAAGCAAACAAUUCUAGCUUCGUAAUGUAGCGGUAGCCUUUAUAUCAAAUAUAGACUCCAUAAUUCCAGCUUGCUUUUAGCUUUAAAAAAGGUCAAAGUGAGCUGUUAUGUCCAAUACUAAAGUUCAUGAUUAGUGGGUGGCCGUGUCACCUGUUGGCUCUCUCUAAGCAACCGUGACAGCUGGCCCUGCUUGAUGAUUCUUCGAACACCUUAUUUCAAACAAAUGCAACUUGCGUUUACCCUUUACUGCAGAUUUUAAAUUUAGUAAUCAUUUCAAUCUCCAGUCAAGUCAAGUAAAUAAUUUUUUAAAAAUAUAUAUAUAAAUAAAUAAAUAAUCAAUAAAAUAAAUUCUUUAAAAACAAAAAACUUAGAUGAAAGGAUAUACAAGCAUCAUAAAAUAAAACCUAUCUGGAUAUUGUACAAAUAAUGGACAAAUAUCCAGAAAAGUCCUGCUGAAUGACUACAUGCCCGAAUCCACCAGCAAUAUUAAAAAAGACUUGUCUGAAAAAGCUUUUAAUUAACAAUAAAAGCAGACCGAAUUUAGUGGUAUAUGUCCUACCAAAACCGCACUUAAGUCUGUCCGCAAACAUCAUAAUGACGUAGACCGCCACGCAUAAUGAGGUACACAUCUAUUUCAAGUCACUUUCGCGAACAAACUGGAACCUCAUCCACACCUCACGAUCCAUAUCCAGUUGAUCGAAUUUCGAGGUAUUUGUCCAACUAAAACCGCACUUAAGUCUAUCCGCAAGUCAUCAAAAUAAGGUAGACCGUCACUCACAAUGUGGUCCACAUCUCGUUCAAGCCACUUAAGCUUACAAAUUGGAACCUCAUGCACACCUCACGAUCCAUAUCCAGCGGACCGAAUUUCGUGGUAUAUGUCCAAUCAAAACCGCACUUAAGUCUAUCCGUAAAUCAUCAUAAUAACGUAGACCGCCACUCUUAAUGAGGUCCACAUCUAGUUCAAGCCACUUAAGUGUACAUACUGGAACCUCAUGCACACCUCACGAUCCAUAGCCAGAUGAUUCAAAACCGCUCGGCACACUCCAAGGUAAAAUCAAACUCUUACCCAACAGAAAAUCUAUUGUGAUUAAAACUCAUAAUUAUAAAUAAUAAAUAAAUAUUUAUAUUGUAAAAAAAAAUAAUAGAAACAGAAAGAAAAGAGAGAUGAGAGAAAGUUUUUUAUGUAUUAUUAAAAUAAUGUUUGGUAUGAAAAAUAUCUAGGUGGGGUGACCCAUGAAACUCUUUACAAAUCAAUGUUUAUUACAAUCUCCUAUUAAGAUAUAUAUCUCAAUUACAUUAUCUGUUUGAUAAAUCUUACAUUAUUACUUAAAAAAUAUUCACAUGUAUAUAAAUCUUAAAAUGUUUAAAAUGCGAAUAAUAUAUUUAUCAUUUAUUAAAUUUAUUUUAAUUUAAAUUGAUCUAAUAUAGUGUGAUAUGUCCAUAUUUCAUAACAAUUUGAUAUUUUAUUUUGCCUGAAAAUAUUGAUAUUUUUGUUUAAAAAUAGUCAAUUAUACUUUUGUUUGAAGUAUAGAAGAGGAGAAUUUUUUUUCAGGUAGAGUAUUAGCUAGAGGAGAAGAAUUUGCUAGCCUAGAAUCCUAGAUAUGCUCGAGCUAGGAACGAUGUACAGAAGAUCCAUAAUUCUAGUAUUUUACUCGAUUAUGAGCAUAAUAUUUAAAAUUAAUUUAGUUUUUAUUUUAAAAAAAGUAUAAGAAAAAGAACAAUAAUGUCAAUUGAAAAUUUUAAUUCAUCAAAUAAAUAAAUAAACAUUAGAAAAAUAAAAAAAAUAUUUGAUCAAUGAUUGUAGAAGAAAACAAAAAUAUUUAAUAAUUUAUUUUGCAAUAUCAUUUCAAAUAAUUUAGCAUUGUUCUUUCCUUACAUCCACACUUGUGUCAAUGAUUCAUCCUUUGUAAUGCUUUAAAAUUGAAUAGUUCUAAUCAAAAGCAGUCUCUUACCUACGGCUCCCAUCUGUAUUAGAAAUGUUCUAGAUGCUUAGAGCACAUUCCUUUGCAUUAGAAAAAGAAGUAGUGAUUAUUAUAAUUUGCUUUUUUAGUUGCAUCAGAAAUGUUGUAUUUGCGAAGAGAUAAGAUGAAUAUCCUCUCAACAAUGUUAUUAUCUAUAAAAUCAUAAGACUUUCAUAUAAAAUCAAAAUAUUUUAUUGAAUUACAUACAUUGAUAGAAAUCAUAGGACUUUCAUAUAAAAUCAGAAUAUUUUUAUUGAAUUACAUAUAUUGAUAGUCGGUGAUGCACCUUUAUAUACAGAACACUAUAGCUAAUCACAAUAUGUGUACUAAAGACCAUAUCAACUAAUGAAGGUAAUGUCCUACAAUCUUGCUAGGAAUUCUAGCCACGAAUCAUGCAAGUCAAUGAUUCUGCAAUUAUAGAAAAGAUUUUGCAAAUAUUAUGAAGAGCAGCAAUGAAAGGAUUCUGCAAAUAUUAUGGAAAUGAUUGAUUCUGUACAUCAAGAUUGUCAAUACUCCCCCUCAAGUUGGUGCAUGAAGAUUUGAGAUGCCCAACUUGGCAAGCAGUUCAAGAAAACGAUCUCGUCCAAGAGCUUUUGUAAAUAUAUCAACCAGCUGGUAUGUAGUGGAAAUGUGACAAGGAUAUAGUACCUUCAACUGAAUGUGAUGCCGAACGAAGUGGCAGUCUAUUUCGAUGUGCUUCGUUCGUUCAUGAAAAACUGGAUUUGAGGCAAUAUGGAUUGCAGCUUAGUUAUCACAAAAUAACGAAACAUGAGUAGAACAUAUGACACCAAAGUCACAAAGUAGUUGAAUCAACCAAAUUAUCUCACUAGUGAUUGUAGCCAUGGCUCUGUAUUCUGCUUCUGUCGAAGAGCGAGAAACAACUGUUUAUUUCUUUGCCUUCCAAGAAAUGGGGGAGGACCCAAGAAACAUAAUAUACCCAGAAGUAGAUCGCCGGGUGAAGGGGCAUCAUGCCCAAUCAGCAUUGCAAUAUGCACGAAGUGUGAGUGAAUUGUCAGAUGGAAGAAAGAUACCCUGGCCUGGUGCAUUCUUCAAAUAGCGGAGUACUCGAUAAGCGGCCUCCACGUGUGACUGUCGUGGAUCACGCAUAAACUGACUUAAUAUAUGAACAACGUAACUAAUAUCAAGGCGUGUGAUGGUAAGAUAAAGUAACUGACCCACAAGACGCUGAUAUUGUCCUGGAUCUUCACAAGGCUCGCCAGAUCCUGCAAUUAGUUAGUGGUGCUGCUCCAUGGGAAAUGCAGCAAGUUUACUACCCAUCAUGCCAUUUUCAGCCAAAAUAUCUAGCACGUACUUGCGUUGACAUAAGGCAAUGCCAGUAGGUGAUCGUGCAAUCUCAAUGCCAAGGAAAUAUUUUAAUUUUCUAAGAUCCUUGAUGUGGAAUUUAUAAUCUAAGUACCGUUUCAAGAAAUUAAUUCGAGUCGAAUCUGUGCCCGUGAUGAUGACAUCAUCCACGUAAAUCAAGACAGCAACAAGGGAUUUACCAUGACAUGAUGUAAACAACGAAUGAUCAGCAUGUGAUUGUUGAUGACCAAUGGCUAUGAGAGAGGAAGUAAAUUUUUUAUACCAAUUUCGCGAUAUUUGAUGGAGUCCAUAAAGAGAUUUUUGUAAUUGACAAACACGAUGCUCCCCCUUACGUGCAAAACCCUAUGGAAUCUUCAUGUAGACUUCUUUGUCCAAGUCACCAUGAAGGAAUUUAUUGUUUACAUCCAAUUAGAGUAACUCCCAUUUAUGAGCAGCAACGACAGCUAGUAGACAUCGAAUAGUAACUAACUUGGCAACCGGUGCAAAAGUCUCAUGAAAGUCUAUCCCUUCAACUUGAGUGAAACCUUUGGCCACUAGUUGUGUUUUAUAACGCUCCACACUACCAUCCGGAUUGUACUUGACUUUGUAAACCCAUUUUGAAUCAAUAGCAUGUUUACCUUUCGGUAGAGUGGUGAAUACUCACGUUUUGUUUUCCUCCAAUGCUAAAAUUUCUUUGGCCAUAGCGUUUUUCCAGUGAUCAUGCUUUAUUGCCUGAGAAAAGGUUUUUGGCUCAUUUGUGAUGGAAAUGGCCGCUAAGAAGGCAUUAUGAGUAUAAGAAAAUCGAUUAUAUGUGAGAUGCUUAGAUAAAGGAAAUAUCAAUGAGUUGGCUGAUGGUGGAGUGGGCUGUGAUGGAGCGAGAGAGGGCGGAAGCACAAAAUUGUAAUCUGCCAAUGUGCUAGAAAUUUUUCUAGUGCUUUUAGUUAGAGGAAGAGGUAAAGUUCUUGUGGAUUGAGUAAUUGAAGGUGCCACUGUCUCAACGGUUGUAACAUCAUGAGUGGGAGGAGUCCCAUGUGACCGAUCAUGACCCAAGACUUCCUCAUGAACAGUUGCAUGAUCAUUGGUAAACUAUGUAUUAUCAAGGCUUAGCUCUUUUGUGACCCGUGAGCCUGUAUGCCCCAUGUUAGGCUGUUCCGUGUGAUCCAACAAAAUGUGCUCAUGGUUGUUGCCCAUAAGAUUUGUUGUGUCUCUCAUAGAAUUUUUAUGAGAAUUUGCUAGUGGACCGCCAAUAUUUUGUUAAAUUCCUUCUGCUGCAAAAGGGAAAUAAUCUUCAUAGAAAGUAACAUCUCGAGAAGUAUAAAUGUACUUAUCUUCGAGAUUGAAAAUACGAUAUCCCUUUUGACCAUUAAGAUAGCCUACGAACAUUCAGGUUGAGAUCAUGGGGCAAAUUUAUCUCGAGGCCUGCUGUUUACAUGCCCAUAACAUAAGCAACCAAAGCUCCUCAAGUGCUUAUAAGUUGGAGCCUUUUCAAUCAAUAAUUCAUAUGGUGUUUUGUCUCGCAAAACAGAAAGAGGCAUUUGAUUAAUUAAGUAGGUAGCUGUCAAGACACACUCACCCCAAAAUUGAAUGGGCAGAUUAGCAUGAAAUCGUAAUGCCCUGACAACCUCCAACACAUGUCGAUGCUUACGUUCCACCACUCCAUUUUGUUAUGGAGUGUCAGUGCAACUAUAUUGAUGUUCCAUCCCAUUUUCACUGUAGUAAGUCAAUAAGUCCUCAUGGUUGAAUUCGAGACCAUUGUCAGUUCGCAGAAUCUUAACUGCCAAAUUAAAUUGAUUCCUCACCCAAUGGAAGAAAUGAAGCAAAUAUUUUCUUGUUUCAGACUUGAAUUUCAUAAGAUAAACCCAAGUGACUCAACUGUAAUCAUCUACGAUGGUAAGAAAAUAAUGUGCUCCUGAAUAAGAUUGAGUGCGAUAUAGACCCUAGAUAUCACAAUGAAUCAAUUCAAAAAUGCCAUUAGUUUUAUUCGUGCGAACAAGAAAAGGUAACUGUGUCUGUUUCGCUAUGCAGCAUGCAUCACAAAAUAAAUGUUUAUGAGUAUCAAAGUAACAAGAUAAGUUAGGAAUCACAAAGAAUUGAUGAACUGGUAGAUGUCCCAAUCGACGAUGCCAUAAACUCGCGUUCCAUUUCCUGUUUGCCACCAAUGCCAUGCCCCCUUUCGUGGAUUCCAAAAAAUAUAAGCCUCUCCUCGCUUUACCCACUCCAAUCAGCUUCCUAGAACAUAAGUCCUGUAUCACACAAAAAUCAGGCCAAAAUAUCAGCAUACAAUUCAAGUUCUUUGUCAGUUGUGUCACUGAUAUCAAAUUAUAACAAAACUCUAGUAUGCCAAGGACAUUAUUCAGAACCAAACUUUUGCCAAUGAUCACUUGCCCUAAGGCUCGCACAUCAACUGUCUCUCCAUUAGGAAUCUCGACUGGAGGUAUGUUAGGAUUUUUUACCACAUUGGAUAAUAUCUCAAUCUGACAAGUGAUAUGAUCGAUGGCCCCUGUAGCAAGGACCUAAGGUAUUAUAAAUGCAGUCUUACAAGAAAAAUUAUCAUUUAUGGAGUUUGCUGCCACCAUAUUUGCUGAAGAAGUUUUUUGGGUUUGUGUCUUUAAUAAAGCCAUCAGCUGUUGGUGUUGUGUACUUGACAGGCUCGGAAUUAAAAGAGAUCCAGUUUCCACAUUUGCUGCAAAAGACCCACCCACAUGUGUCCCUGUGUGUGAUGACGAUACACCAUUACCUCGACUUGCUUCUUGACCCCGUCUGCGACUUUGUGGUUUGCGCUACCAGGAAGGAUACCCAUUUAGCGCAUAACAGUUUUCACGUGUAUGGGUCAUCUUGUGGCAGUGGGUGCAAUGCAAAUUUUCAUCGCCGCUACUUCCAUAUUGACAAUCUUGAUGUACAGAAUCAAUUAUUUCCAUAAUAUGAAGAAAUCGGGGUCUUCUCUUGCUGGAGGAGAGCGAUGACACGUUUUAACUCAAAAACUCUAGGAGCAAUCCCUUGAGUGAAGCGUUUUUCCAAGUCUGACCAAACUUCACUUGCAAUGUCGGCAUGGGCAGCGCUUCCUUGGAUCUCUUUAGCUAGUGCAUUCAUUAGUCACGACAACACUAUUGUGUUGCAUCGCAUCUACAACUGAAAAUCUAGAGACUUAACAUCUGGUUUCUUUAUGCUUCCGCCCACGAAUCCUACUUUGUUCUUGGACUGUAAUGCAUUUAGGAAAUUAUGCCUCCAAGUGAAGUAAUUUUCACCAUUUUCACUAAGAGAAUGUGUUACGAAAAUCAAACCUAGGUGAUUAGAGGAAUGCAAAUGAUAUGGUGAAUUUGUAUCGACUGCAACGGUUUGGGAUGUAUUUGCAACCGGUAGCAAAUCCCCAUUAACGUUAUCUGUUGUACCUCCACACAUGCCUGCAAAACAGAUUUAAAAAAAGAGACCUGCUCUGAUACCAUAUACAAUCAUAGGACUUUCAUAUAAAAUCAGAAUAUUUUUAUUGAAUUACAUACAUUGAUAGCCGAUGAUGCACCUUUAUAUACAGAACACUAUAGCUAAUCACAAUCUGUGUAAUAAAGACCAUAUCAGCUGAUGAAGAUAAUGUCCUACAAUAUGGCUAGGAAUUCUAGCCACGAAUCAUGCAAGUCAAUGAUUUUGCAAUUAUGAAAAGGAUUCUGCAAAUAUUAUGGAGAGGAGUGAUGAAAGGAUUCUGCAAAUAUUAUGAAAAUGAUUGAUUCUGUACAUCAAGAUUGUCAAUAUUAUCUGUAGGCUGAAUCGAAAGCAUGACAAUAUAAUAUACACUAUCAUAUUUGUCAGCAUUAAUUUGUAUCUAACCUCAUACUGACUUGCUGCUGAUAAUAAAUGGUUUAUCAAAAGCACCAAAUUUGAAGCCUAAAAUCAAACGCACCUUACACUAGACAACUUUAUCAAAUAAAAGAUUCUCAAUUAAACAGUAAAAGUUAGUUAUGGAGAGACAAUUAAUUAAUCAUCACAUAUUAUUUGUCUGAAAUUUUUGGUUACUUACAUUUUAAUUUGCCUUUUUACAUUUAUUAUUUUGUAUGCUUAUUGCAGCGGGCACUGGGCAGGCUAAUCAACCAAGAAAAAGAACGAAGGGAGGCACCAUAUUGUCAAUCGCAAUGUAUAUAGUAUUUCUUUUGGGGACUAAUUAAAUUACUCACUAACUUACCAAUUUUAUGAAAAAGGUUUGUGGGGAUCAGGGGCCUACCGCCAGCCACCAUCCUCCCUCGCCUGGCCCCUCCUAUCCUAUGUUUAACCCUUUUGAUAGACAUGGCAGGUCUUCAUGGAGGGAGUAAAAUUUACAGUUACACCAAAAAAAUAAUAUCAAGUAUUUUCUAUGUGAGCUGGAAAUAAAGGAGAAUGUGCACUGGGAGAAGGUUCGCCAAAGAUUUGAUAAUUGCUUCAUAUAGCAUGAGAUUGUGAUCAAAGAUGGGAUAUAGUCUUAGCUCUUGAUGAGGUGAUAUAGUCUAAAAAGGAAUAUAUCUUUUAGGUGGUUUAACCCAAUGUAGAUUUAUAAAUUAAAUAAGGCUAAUAAAAAUCUAUAGACAAAAUAUUAGUAUUAAUUAAGUUCUUAAUUAAUUUUUUUAUAAUUUUUUUAAGAAUCUUACUAAAUAUACAUUUUUUUCAAAAAAUUUAAAAUAAGUAUAAUUAUAGAAUAACAAUCAAAACAAAAAACAAUUAGUGAUCAAGACCACAUCACACCAACUUGACAUGUAUGAAAAAAAUUAUAUUUAUUUUAUCAUAAAAUCAAGCCAUAAAACAUACAAACAAUAGAAUGAUCAGGCAUACCUAGCAAAUAAUUUUUUUUUAAAAAAAAAGGAUUAAAAAUAAUAUGAAAAAUAAGUAAGAAAGAUAUUAUUAAUUAUAAAAGAAAAGAGUAUUCUAUACCUCAAUGAAUUCUUCUCAGCCUAAAGAUAACAAUGGGUUAGGCCAUUCAAUCUGGUGUUCAUCAAUAAUUUACGUCCCACAAGCUCUACCAAAUAAAAUUUGAUUUUAUAAUAGAAUUUCUGAUUACCGAGUUGCUCUACUGAUGUAAGCUUCUAUACAUGUCACAUCUUUAAACACGGGCAGAGUAUCCUUUCACCACGGGCCGUGGUUUCUCCAAAAUUUUUUAAAUUUUUUAUAUAUUAUAUAUCUUUUAAUGCGUUCUUCAAUAUAAUUGUUAUUAAAUAAUUAAUAUAAAUAAUAAAAUAAUUUCAGAAACCCAUUUAACUUUACCCUAAUUCUUAAACACCUCCCCCCCCGACCCUUUUAAAUUUCUCCACAGCUUUUUCCUCUCUUUCUUCUUCCCUUUUUCUUCUUUUUUGUUAUUUCAAUUCUAUUAUAUUUAAUCAUAUGCUAUGAGUUUCUAUAAUUUUUUUUUAAAUUUUUACAAAUCAUAAAUCAUUUUUUUUUCUGUUAUGUAAAUUUUAUAUUCAAUGAUUUAUGUUUAAAAUUUUAAAAAUUAUUAUGUAAUUCUUAAAUAUAAAUUGUAGCAUUACAUUAUAAAUUGUUACUUAAAAUUUCAUCAUAAUAUAAUUUUUUUAUUAAUUCUAAUUAUACAAAAAAAAUUUAUAUGUUUUACAUUUUAUAUUUAGUUGAAAAUGAAUUAUCUGAGUAUUUAAUUUUUAAAUAAUCUUGAUUAUAUAAAAAAAUUAGUAAUAUUAUAUAUCAUAUUUAACUAUUUAUAUUUUAUUAAUUAUUCAUCUUCCUUUAUAAUUUCUCAACAAAAAUUAAUUAACUCCAUCUUUUCUUUAGAGAUGUUUAUGAUACAAAGAUUACUUAUAUAAAAGUGUCUUCUCACUUGAAAAAUUAGCUGACAUGUUAUAUUUCAAUUCUUGUCUAAUAUAAAAUAUAAUUUAAUUGAUAAUAAAAAAGUAAUAAAAUUUAUUAAUUUAUUGUAUUAUUAAAAGUAUUUGGAUUUAUCGCUUUUAAUUAAUAAUUUUAGAGUUGACAUUUGCCUAAAAAUGGAUUGAAGUUUGCUGAUCCGAAAAGCAGAUGAGGGACAGCAAACUCAUGUGCUUGGUAUCCUACGCCUAUGGUCAUAGCCCAUAGGCUAAUUGAUUCAUUUCUAGGCUUAAUGGGCUCUGUGAAAUGGGUGCGCAGCCUGCUGCAAAAAUCAUGUUACAAAAGUCAAGCCUCCUAAAAGUCAGCCAGUUUAAACCUGGCUAAAGGCCAACCAUCUCUGUGAGCUGGUUUUAAAAUGUUAAUUAAUUAAUUGUACAGUAUCCUUAAAUCCAAUUAAUUUUCAACUUGAAUGGAUUUGGAAUUUAGAUUAAUUUAAACUUAGAACUAUUUAGACGAUCUACGAUAACCUAAGUCAAAUCUACUUAAAAUCUGAAUUAACCUCAUGAACUUCAAAUAUCUAGCAAAAUCAAUCUUAAAAAAUCCGAACAAUUUGCUCAAAUCUCACUUAAACUUCAAACAAUUUCUUUUCUGAUCACUUUCAGAACAUUAUGCAUUCCAAUUAUAUGCGUUUCACAUAGUAGCAAACACUUGAUUGUCAAUAAAGUAAAUGAGAAGUGGUUAGGAGACUUAAGGGUCAAUGGCUCACAAAAUAUUGUUCAAUGGAAGAUUUGGUAAAUAAAUAGCAUAUAUAAUUUAUAUAAAUUUUUAAUAGAUACAAGUCUUAAUUAAUGGGCUUAUAUUUAAUGUACUAACAAUGUAUAAUUUUUAUACAUAAGACAUAAAAUCAUAUCAUCUCAUUAAAAAAUAAAUUCAAAAUUUUAAGGGAUUCAAAAAUAAAUAUUAUUAAGUUUUUUAAAAAAAUUAAAAAAAUCAAUAAUUUUUUUAUCUCUCUAACUCUCUCUUAUUCAAUCUCUUUCUCUUUUUCCCUCAACAACAAUAGAUUCAAAAUCUGAAUUUUUUUUUUUGAAAAGUAAAAUUCUGAAUUCUGAAUUUUGAUUUUUCAAAGUAAUGUUUAUUGUACUUUUUUUCUUAAUUUAAUUCUUAAUAUUUGUUUCACUCCUUUGUUUGAAAUUACUUUGAAAAAAUGAUAACAAUAAUAAGGUAAAAUUUUUGAUUUGUUCAGCAAUGUCUGAUUUGCCUUGGAGUAAGUAGAAUGAAAUGAAUAAAGCAAUUGGAAAAGGUGGAAAGCAAAACAUCAACUCUAAAAAAUAUUACUGCAUUCUGAGAAUAUAAAUGCAACAGGUCUCAAUCUGCAUAGCAACGUGCAGUACACAAAAAAUUUGUAAAACUCAAGCUUUUUUCAAUACCUAGCAAGUCCACAAAUUCUAGGUUCGUUGGAGAUUGAACAGGACGAAGCAAAAAUCUAUCGAAUACAACUUCUUUUAGAUUUAUGAAUAAAUGAACCCAAAAAACAACCCUGAAUAAAAAUUUGUAAAUAAAAAUUUAUUUAUUUUUUAUCGCGUAAGUCCCACAAGAUUAUCACAUUAAAACUUGAAAACGAUAUCUUCACAGUGUGAGUGUCAAAAGUGUUCGAAAAGCCUUUUUGCUAAUCAAAUAAAAAUGAUAAAUAAACAAUAAUAAUAUAUAAAAAAUGGUAAACUAAGAAGAAGAUUGAAAUAAAUAUUAAAUCAAAAUUAAGAUUUUAAAAUUAUGAAAUUAUAACAUCAAAGAAAGAACAAGAGAAAAAGAAGAGAUAGGGUGAAAUGGAGCUGGAGAAGAAAAUUUUUUUUAAUUUUUUAAAAUAAUAACAUUUAUUUUUAAGUCUCUUAAAAUUUUAGAUUUAUUUUUUUAGUGAAAUGGUACCAUUUGAUACCCUAACAAUGUAUUAGAGUUAUAAUACUAUCAAAUAUAAAUUACAAUAAAAUACUUCAAUAUGGUUCUUGUUGAUCGUCAACGUGAAAAGUUGUCAUGAAAGUCAGGUUUUAUAAUCUGUUUGGUUGAAAUUUAUAUUAAGAAUAAGCUUCAGGUCAAAAAGGCUUGAUAAGUCGUCACCUAAUCCUUCAAAAGAAAAAAAAUAAAAGUCAUUCCCGAAGGUACACGUCUCUUUUCACCUCCUAUGCACGUAAUCUCUUUGCGCUAUAAAUAAAGGACAGGCUUGACAAAGUGGUCACCCAAUCCUUCAAAAGAAAAAUAAAAUAAAAGGCCAUCCCCAAAGGUUCGCAUCGUUUUUAACCUCCUAUGCAAGCAAUCUCCUUACGGUAUAAAUAAAGGAACUCAAUAAACUCAUAUGCACAAAAUUAGCUUUAGAAAAAUGAAGUCUCUCCACCUUUUAGUAUUUCCAUUUCUUUUCGCUGCUCUCUUCUCAUUGUCAUGGGCAACUUCGGCUCAUACUCAUGAGCGUUUUCUUCAUUGUCUUUUCCUUCGUUCCGAGAACUCUUCUUUCAUUUCUAAAAUCAUCUACACACAAAAUAAUUCUUCCUAUUCCUCUAUUUUGAAAUUUUUUAUGUAUAAUCUCAGGUUCUCCACGUCAACUAUCCUCAAACGUCAAGUCAUUAUAACACCAUUUCAUACAUCCCAUGUUCAAGCAACAAUUUACUGUUUUAAAAAACAUGGACUCCAAAUUAGAAUUCGAAGUGGUGGUCAUGAUUUAGAAGGUCUUUCUUAUGUCUCUGAAGUUCCAUUUGUCAUAAUGAUUUUGAUUAAUUUUCGAUCAGUUGACAUUGAUGUGGAAAACAAAAUUGCAUGGGUUCAAUCUGGUGCAGUUCUUGGUGAGCUAUAUUACAGAAUUGUUGAAAAAAAGUAAAACUCUUGCCUUCCCAGCUGGUAAUUGUCACACUGUGGGUGUUGGUGGAUAUUUUAGCGGAGGAGGUUAUGGCUUAUUAUUUCGAAAAUAUGGUCUUGCCGCUGAUAACAUAAUUGAUGCCCAAUUCAUUGACGUUAAUGGACGAAUUCUUGACAGAAAAGCCAUGGGAGAAGAUUUGUUUUGGGCCAUUCGAGGAGGUGGAGGGGGUAGCUUUGGCAUUGUCAUCGCAUGGAAAUUAAAGUUGGUUCCUGUUCCAGCACUGUGACUGUUUUCACCAUUAACGGAACAUCAGAACAAAAUGCAAUCAAACUUGUCCACCGUUGGCAAUAUAUUGCACACAAGCUUCCUGACGGAACAUUCUCCUUCGUUGCUUUAAGAAGUGUGAAUUCUAGUCAAGAUGGGAAAAAGACGAUUUUAGCUUCCUUCAGGUUAUUCUUUCUCGCUGGCAUUGAUGAGCUUGUUCCAUUGAUGCAAGAGACAUUUCCAGAGCAUGGACUAGUAAGGGAAGACUGCACUGAAAUGAGUUGGAUUGAAUCUAUUCUCUACUUCGGUCAAAUUCAAAAUAAAUCCUUGGAUAUUUUACUUGAUAGGACUCUACAAAGUCCUCUCAUUAGUCCAGUCUUCAAAGCAAAAUCUGACUAUGUAAAGGAACCUGUUCCUAAAAUUGCGUUAGAAGGGCUAUCGUCAAAGCUUCAUGAGGAAGAAGCAAAAUCUGCCGGUAUACUUUUUGUGGCUUAUGGGGGGAUAAUGGAUGAGAUUCCAGAGACUGCAACUCCAUUUCCGCAUAGAGCUGGCAACUUAUACAAAAUCGCAUAUACCGUAGGUUGGCAAAAAGAAGACAACAAAAAUUCCCAGAAGUACAUAAGUUGGAUUAGGAGAGUUUACAGCUAUAUGAGCUCCUUUGUUUCACAAUCACCACGAGAGGCAUACAUCAAUUAUAGAGAUCUUGACAUUGGAAUUAACAGUAAAGGUAACACCAGUUAUGCACAAGCGAGCAUUUGGGGUUAUAAAUAUUUAAGGAAUAACUUUGAUAAGUUGGUGAGGGUGAAGACAAUGAUUGAUCCAGAAAAUUUCUUUAGACACGAACAAAGCAUCCCUCCGCUUUUGUUUGUGUGGAAGAAAAGAGGCAAUUAGAGUAUAUAUAAUUUUGGUAAAGCAUCCUCGAGUAUUUGGUUUAUUGGUUGGUGCAUUAUCUUCUUGUCUAAAGAGUAGGGUUCGAAUCCUCUCUUCUUCAAUUAUAUAAAAAAAAUAUAUAACCUUGGUGGACACUGAUACUCAAAAAGCAUACAAUAAAUGAUUUUGAUGGAAAUUAUAAUGCUAGAUAAAAUGUUUGAUUAGUUCUUUGUUACCAUUUCUGGCUGGCAUAAUGCAUGAGUGGUAUGCAUAGCCUAAUAAAUAACAUACCAUUAAUUACCUUUGGUUGAAACAAGUUACUGCGUGUUGACAAUAAUAAAUUUUAGCCUUUCUUUCUCCAGAUUUUAUUAUUAGAUACAA
rnacentral:lncRNA from 1 species